CCCACUUUGCUGCCGGACUGAGGGUCCUCAUGGAGAACGACCCCAACCGCGAACGCAGCCUGCAGGUGUCCCGGCGUGUCCACUGUGUCCUCGCCUGCCUCCGGGAGCUGCACUGGGAGAGGAGGCGACAGGCUCGGGCAGCUGCAUCCUCAAGGGUCCCCACAAUGGUGGCAACAAGGGAGUUAGCAGGGAGCCUGCUCUCGCCUCAGGUGGUCCCACAGAGGGUGGGCAAGUGGCUCAGGGCACAGACCCUGAAGGACAGACCUCUUUGGCUGUUCCGUGUGAUUUGGGGCUUGGGCCCAACCUCUCAUGAGCUUUGUCGGAUGCCGUUUUGUUUCUGGAGGGUGGACACUGCCAUUUCUCCCUGACGGCUCUCAUACGUCUUGCACUGCCACCUUUGAUCCAGUGACACAUAGAGCACCGAGCUUGGGGAACAAAAAGCUCCGCGCGCUGGUGCCCGCCGCCUCCUGGGAAAGGCACUGUCCACAGCUCGACGGUCUGGCCUCACAGUCCAGGGACUACAUUUCCCAGAGAGCCUUGCGGACAGAGCCGGUCUUGCGCACUUUUCACUUCCGGACGCGGAAGGUUGUCGUGGAAACGCAGACGCUGCCGCGACCUCUUUCUUACCUUCUUGCGCGUGAGCAUGCACUAUGGUAAGGAGGGGGGGUGGGGGUGGCGACAAGGAACGGGAAGUAAUCCUUGGGCAACCGGAGGCUCCCGGGUCAGGGUCCCAGGGGUAGUUGCUUUUGGUUCCUGCGUGGCGUUGUUCCGCGCUGGCCCGCGUGGCUCCCGGAGGCGGUGAGUCCGGGCGCAACGCGGCAGAGGCGUCGGAAAUGCCGGGGGUAGGGUGUGCUGCUGGCCAGAGGACGGCAGGAGAGGUGGGGCGGAGCAGCAGCGCCUCUUUCGGCCGAGCCCGGACGAAUUCGCGGGGAACGUGGCGCGGGUGCUGCUGGGCCUUGGAGUCCGCGGGACUCUGGCCAUGCCUCCGGGGGUGUGGCCACGGACCCGCACUGGUCCCUUCCGCGGU
rnacentral:lncRNA from 1 species